CAGCCGACGUCGGACGCUUAACCCACUGAGCCGCCCAGGCACCCCGUGUUUCUUUCUUUCCAUCUCAAGAUUCUGUCGAGGGUCAGGUGUCAUAUUUAGCUGCCUCACAAUGGCUGGGCUUUCCAACAUUACUGUUCACUGAGAAAGGAUCAAAAUAAAUGUCCUCAAGUACUGGCAUGCUGACAUUGGUCCCCAGGAUUCCUAGGACAGGCCCUCAUUCCCUACAUUUUCCAGCUCCUCGCAGACAUCCGCACAUGCCUCUCCCUCUGGGCAGGGCCCAUUCAGUACCACUUGAUGAUCCAAGUUCAUGAACUUGUCACUCUUGUUGUGGCCCUCGAAACUGCAGCUGUCCCCCGGGGCCGAGCCAAUUCUGUGGACACAUUGCACCUCAGUGCCUUCUCCUGCUGCAAAUUCCAAACGCUCACAGGCCACAUGCUUCCUCUCAGAGGGAUGCAAGCCGGGAUGGCCUACAGCCAUGCAGUGUAGACAUUACCCUCGAGAACCCAGCCUGCCAGGGGCCAGGCGGUGUGGCUUUGUGUUCAAGGGCUUUACCAAGGGGAAACGUACGGUUGCGAUUAGGUGUCAGGACAAGAAACAGGAUUUCGUGGCACUGAGGAAUUCAAUCGUACAAACGCGUGCUAGAAGCCUCCUUCAGCUGAAAGUAGAGAAUCUGCUAGCCUCUAAGUAUACUUGGUAAUGAAUUGGUUAAUAUCUGUCUCCUCCGUUGGCUGUACGCGUGUGACUAGGGUAACCCAGUGCUGUUCACCAGUGUCACCCCAGCAGGGGGAGUGCCGGGCACUCAGUGAAAUAAGUCCUCACUGCAAACUAGCGUCUCGCGAAUGAAUUUACCAAUACAGCCAAUGCAUGGAGUAAAUGCAUGAUAGGACCUGGGACCCGGGCACCGUCUCAUACCUUGCCAGCGGCCUUGGCGAAGGAAAAGGGAAUAAGGUGAACAGCCCCUUGACAGUGAAAUGCCCUGGCCAGAGGUGGCCCUCACUUCUCCCAUGGGUGAGGCCAGUCCUGGGGUCCGCCUGUGUGCAGGCAUGAGUCAGCUGGAAACCAGUGGUCAACAGCGCUUUGGACAGCCUGCUCUCCCCCCUCACCGUGGGUGGGGAAUUGAUCUGGAAUCAUAAUACAAUCACAGCGCCUGCCACAGGCGGGUACCUGUUUGCACUGCUGACCCCUGGGCCAGUCCCACCGUGUAGAGUUCACCUUCCUUCCCCCCCACCCCCGGGGGUCACUGCACUGUGAACAGCCUCCGUCAUGACCCAACUCGCACACCAGUAUUUCAAACACAGCGGUUCCUUGACUCCCGUAAACAAGAGGAAUCCAGCCUGCCCCUCCCCCUGCAUACAGAGGCGGGGAGCCUGGUGAGGUUCAGAGAAGGCUUCUCCGUGGUGGAACGCGGCAGCGAUAUCCUGGAGGGUCCAACAUGCCUGCGUGGGUCAGUAACGCAGACAUGGCACGUAACCAGAGUUAUCCCAGCGUCUUGUCAUCAGAGCCAUCCCGGCCCCUGUCUGAGUGAUGCUCUAGCAGCCGGCAUGGGAACCAAUAUGGAAGAAAGGAAUCUGGUCACCCACAUCCGUGGCUGGCACGUUCAUCGAAUGUCCCGAAGAAUCUCUCCAACACUCGAGCCAACAUGCCCACGCCAGCUGCGAAAGACACCUAUUCGGGGCCCCCGCUCAAGCCCCCAAGAGUUGGGGCUGGCACCGAACUCCCAAGUUAGGUUCCUCCAGGACUGAUGCGUCCGUUCCGGUCACACGGAGGGCUAUUAUUCUUCCAGAAGAAUCACCGAGAGAGGAUAUCUAUCAUGGUGAAGCUCACAGAUUUUGGGGUUCCAUCUGGCACAAUACUCCCUUGCCUCGGGCCUUGGGCAAGUCAUCCAACUACACUGAGCCUCGGGGUCCUGAAGCAUAAGGCGGGGGCCACCUACCUCACAUGACAUUGAUUACAUAACGUGUCUAAAGCGUC